UACGGAGGGUGCAAGCGUUGUUCGGAUUCACUGGGUAUAAAGGGUGCGUAGGCGGCCUCGUAAGUCAGAGGUGAAAGCUGUCGGCUCAACCGACAAAUUGCCUUUGAGACUGCGAGGCUUGAGUCCGGGAGAGGAAGGCGGAAUUCCAGGUGUAGCGGUGAAAUGCGUAAAUAUCUGGAGGAACACCGGUGGCGAAGGCGGCCUUCUGGUCCGGUACUGACGCUGAGGCACGAAAGCCAGGGGAGCAAACGGG
rnacentral:rRNA from 1 species